CGCGUAGGCGGCAUAUUAAGUCAGCUGUGAAAUCUCCGAGCUUAACUCGGAACUGUCAGCUGAUACUGAUGUGCUAGAGUGCAGAAAGGGCAAUCGGAAUUCUUGGUGUAGCGGUGAAAUGCGUAGAUAUCAAGAGGAACACCUGAGGCGAAGGCGGGUUGCUAGGCUGACACUGACGCUGAGUGCGCGAAAGCCAGGGGAGCAAACG
rnacentral:rRNA from 1 species